rnacentral:rRNA from 1 species
UGGCUAACUCCUACGGGAGGCAGCAGUGGGGAAUAUUGGACAAUGGGCGCAAGCCUGAUCCAGCCAUGCCGCGUGAGUGAUGAAGGUCUUAGGAUUGUAAAGCUCUUUCACCGGGGACGAUAAUGACGGUACCCGGAGAAGAAGCCCCGGCUAACUUCGUGCCAGCAGCCGCGGUAAUACGAAGGGGGCUAGCGUUGUUCGGAAUUACUGGGCGUAAAGCGCACGUAGGCGGACAUUUAAGUCAGGGGUGAAAUCCCGGGGCUCAACCCCGGAACUGCCUUUGAUACUGGGUGUCUUGAGUGUGGUAGAGGUGAGUGGAAUUGCGAGUGUAGAGGUGAAAUUCGUAGAUAUUCGCAGGAACACCAGUGGCGAAGGCGGCUCACUGGACCACAACUGACGCUGAGGUGCGAAAGCGUGGGGAGCAAACAGGAUUAGAAACCCGUGUAGUCCAGCUGG